UAUAUAUAUAAACGGAUAAUUUUUCGAAUAAAUGUUGAUAAUAAGUUCGAUUAUUUAAACAGUACAUUGACUCUCGCAAGCUCACCGAUAUCUCGAAUUCAACGAGGAUCGAACUACGUUAAUUUUUGUGCGUAUUAAAAUAAUACAUAAUACAAGAUAUUUAUCGAUUAAACAAUAAUCAUCUUAUUCUUUUUCGUAAUACAUAAAUAAUCUUAAUAAACUUUGAUCUUCUUCAUCCGGAAUCUCUCGUCUUUGAACAACGAAUUUGAGAAGGUAGAAAUCGUAAGUAUAGAAAAAAUGAUUUCAUAAUAACAACGUAAUUUGAUUAACGCGUCGUAUAUUAUAUCCAUAUUCAUAUAUAUAUUUAUAUAUGAAUUUCUAUUGAUUGAAAAAGUAAAUGAAAAACAAACGCGUAAGAUUCUGUGACAUUUCUUUUUUGAGGUUAAAUAGGGAAUCUCGUACUUGAGAAAAUGUUAAGAACCACUGACCUGCAUACAUACGUAUGUAAUACAUACGUAUGUAUAUAUUUUCUUAGCGUUUCUUGGGAACAUGGCUAAUAAUAAUAAAAUCGACGUAUUAUAUAAAAGGACUUAAGGAUCAAAAAGAAAUGUGUUAAUUUUUGUGCGAGCAACGACCGAGCGAAGCAACGAGCAGUGAAAUCGAUCGAAAUACGGAUUUCGAGUAACACCGAGAGAGAGAGAGAGAGAGAGA